rnacentral:rRNA from 1 species
AUUGAACGCUGGCGGCAGGCCUAACACAUGCAAGUCGAACGAGUGGCGGACGGGUGCGUAAUGUCUGGGAAACUGCCUGAUGGAGGGGGAUAACUACUGGAAACGGUAGCUAAUACCGCAUACCAUCAGAUGUGCCCAGAUGGGAUUAGCUAGUUGGUGGGGUAAAGGGUCACCAAGGCGCCGAUCCCUAGCUGGUCUGAGAGGAUGACCGGCCACACGGGAACUGAGACACGGUCCAGACUCCUACGGGAGGCAGCAGUGGGGAAUAUUGCACAAUGGGCGCAAGCCUGAUGCAGCCAUGCCGCGUGGAUGAAGAAGGCCUUCGGGUUGUAAAGUACUUUCAGCGGGGAGGCGUUACCCGCAGAAGAAGCACCGGCUAACUCCGUGCCAGCAGCCGCGGUAAUUC